rnacentral:rRNA from 1 species
UGCCAGCCGCCGCGGUAAUACGGAGGAUCCAAGCGUUAUCCGGAAUCAUUGGGUUUAAAGGGUCCGUAGGCGGGUUAAUAAGUCAGUGGUGAAAGUCUGCAGCUCAACUGUAGAAUUGCCAUUGAUACUGUUAACCUUGAGUAAUUAUGAAGUGGUUAGAAUAUGUAGUGUAGCGGUGAAAUGCAUAGAUAUUACAUAGAAUACCGAUUGCGAAGGCAGAUCACUAAUAAUUCACUGACGCUGAGGGACGAAAGCGUAGGUAGCAAAUGGGAUUAGAUA